UUUUGUUUUCCUAAACGCUUUCGGGCGGCGGAGCCCGGUGUUCGGACGCGGGUCUGCGGGCCUGGGUGCUUGGUGCAGCGGGAAGCAGGGUUUGGGGGACAGCUCCUCUUUUGGGGGGGGGGGGGUUGCGCGCGGUAAUUGCAAGUUUGUUAGAAGCCGGGCUAGCGAGUCGAGUUCAGGUCCGAAGCUCCCGCACUCCUCACCGGGCUGGAGCAGGGUCCCGGACUGGGCUGUAUCCACAGCCCGGUGACCCCAGGUGCCAAGGCCGCGGGGGACCCGGGAGGUUUGGCGGGGGCGGGGAGCGCCCGCAGAGUUACUGCGGAGCCCCGUUUGUCCCAUAGAACGGUCAGGGGAUACGAAGGGAGGGGAUCAUCCUCGGGGCUUCUCCAACUCUCGGCCUGAGAGGGAGGACGCCCUGGGACCGGUGUCCGAGAGCGGCCGCAGGGCCACGGCCAUUCUCGCCUCGGGCUGAUUGGACGUGUGCUAAGCAGUCCCACCCGGUGGCCGUCGGCGGGGAGGAAGGAGCGCGCUGAGACACGGCGCGAGUGGUUUAGACACCCGGCUCCCGCUCAGCCUGCCUGACACGCCGUCUCCUGCAAGCAGUUCCGUGUCGGCCCCUCGGUGAAUUCCACUGUGCACAUCGCUGGGACUUCUAAUAUUUGCCUGCUAGCGAGGCAUCAUCAAACAGCUUUCUUACGUGGUACAGAGGUAUUUAGCGCGCUGCAUCCUGAGCCCCCCGGGCUCUCCACCACGCAGUCGCCUCGCAGCCCCAAGGCUUGGUCAGUUGGGACACACACGCGCGCGCACACACACACGCGCACACACACACAACUGUGAGUUAAGUGAACCGCAGCCACCACUCGGUGCUGAAGCUCCUCGAUGUUGUGUAAGGCUCAAAGGGAUGUGCUGUGUGUCGAUGAUGGAUAGGACCCUAGAAUUUGGAAAACACCCUGGAGGUAGUUCUGAACCACCAGUGAUCCUUCCUGUCCUGAGUAGAAGAAGCCUGCGCCUAGCAGCAGGACCUGACCUUAUUUUCUGGUUAAGGGAAUGGAAAUCUGCCAGUCUUCAGGCUCCUGUCCCCUUUGUCAAGCCCCGAAUCACGCGAGUCUCUUUCCCCCAUUUCCCCCUCUGAAAGCCUGACUUCCUUGUGUCUGGUAAAAGUUCGGACGCUGACACCUUGAAUCCACCGUGUCCCAGUCUGCCAUGGAACCACUAGAGAAAAUAAUUUAUAUUUGUGUCAAGGAAGCCUUCUGAGAAUCAAGGAGUCAACAGAGGCAGAUUAUUUUGAAAUCCAGUGGUGAAAGACGUUCAAAUAUUCAAACAAUGGUAGACCUUAGGAAAAUACUAUGUUCUCGGCCCGCUGCUCAUUUUCUGCUACUCUAGUGGAAUCCAUGUAUUUUCCAAAGUUGUAGGCAAGGGAUUCUUUCAGCAGGGGAGUGAAAAGGGUAACCUUUGUUGAGGGUCACAGGUGAAUUGGGGAAAGUGGGACGUGUGUGCGCAAAGGUCUGCAAUCCCCCUCUUUCAUAUAUGGAUGUGUCCCUCCCCCCAGCCCCCCCCCCCCAUUGAGAGUCCAUAUUGCACCUAGUGGGAGAAGCCUCAGGCAGGAGCUGUUGCAGGGUACGAAGGCAAGGUACAAGUUGAGUCUACCAGUUGCAGAGGGAAAUGCCCUCUUACAGUUCCUGACUUCAGGACAGCAAGCUUGCCCCCACCCCACCACCUGAUGCUUGGGUUAGAAACCCAAAAUGCAAUGUACAUGCUCAAUUAACGAGCGGACCAACUGGGUCUAAAGAUAGUCCAAUUACACUGAAGGCGUAUCUGUGCACCACCUGAUUUUCUUAAGUCUUUCAACUCAAUUAAACAAUUAAAAAUAGUGGGUAAAGUGUAAUAUACAUUGGUGUCUUCAUACCUGUACAAACCAGUUCUUUUCUAUGCCAAUAUCCCUCAGCCCCAAAAUGCCAGCAACAAUUGUAUAAAGAGAAAUGUUACUAAUAAAGAGUCAGGAUAACCUUUCAACAAAAAGUAUAUUUUAUCCUUUGGCAGAUACAGUCAUGAACAUUAAUCAUAGAAACCUGCAGAUAGUAGACGCUUAAUAUCAAAGCUAAUGAUUUAUUUUAUGUUAAUGACUUUCUGCCAGGGCAUAAAAGACUGCUCAUAAUGGACUCUCCAUGCUAUGUUCAGUUACUAAGGCUAAUGGGAUAAUCUUUUCUCUCCCAAAAUUAAGCUUUUUGAAAUAAAUUAUGCUGUUACUUUUCAAGGUAACUCUCAAAAAUUUACUGCAAAACUAAUCUUUUAAGAACUGCUUAAAGAAAUAAAGAGGAAGAAAAAUCCCAAAGCAGCUUUUCUAGUUCCUGAGCAGUUUUACUUAAUUAGAGAGAGAAAGUUUGCAUGUAUGCUAAUACUUCUGAACUUGUCCUGCCAAACAGUUUUAAAGUCAGCCUCCAGUGCCUGGCGCUUUCUGCCUUUUGAGACUCCGCCCUAGUGGGCACCUCCCACAAUGGAACACGUUUUUGUUGAUUGCAGGCCAAUAAUGAGCUGAAUGGUCGUGACACAUGGAGUUGUUCACUAGGAAGUUUUAAGAAGCAUGUUUACAAUUAGUUAUAACCAACAUUAUAUUUCAAUAAGAGAUAAUUUGCCUACUAAAAUUCACAUAAUGUGCUAAUCAUGUCUAGAGGUUAAUAAAGGCCUCCUACCUCACUCCCCUGAUGGCCAUAAAAGGCUAUUAUACUCAUGGCCACAGUUCAGGUACCUCGGCUGCGUGUGAAGAAUGCACCAUUGUCCCACUAAUCAACACACCGAAGGUCAGCACCCCUAAGCCCCUCAACCACCUAUUCUCUUUCCAAAAUAUUUAUUAACACCUUAAAAGCGUAUCUGUUCAUUUUCCUUAGCCUCGAGCCAGUGAAUUCCACUCCAAGCUACUUGUGAGAUCAAGGGUUUGUAACCUAAGCGAGGUCACAGAGGAGAUGAAUACAUAUUCACAUCAAUUUUCUCCCAUAAACAUGCUCCCCAUUCCAGUCAUUGACUGACUCAGUGUAGGGCUGUUGCAGUCCUGAGCGCCUUUAUAAUUAAGUAGGUGUGCUGCAGAGUGACAGUGUUUUCAGAUUUUGUACGUUAUUUAAGGAGACACUGGGAAGAAAAACAACUUUUCAACAACCAGAAUCACUUAAAGUAAACAGAGCAAAGUGGGAAAUGGGAAAGGCUAUUUAUAAUCUAAACAAGCAGGGAUCGCUGCUAGUUUAUGAACCCGAUAACAGUAGUGAAAUAUUAUUUGCUUAAUUGUUCUUUUGGCAUAGGAAAGCAAUAAUAGUAAAAGCUUCUUUAACCAUAUUUUUUCUGCACACAAAGAACGCAUUCACGGGGGAUUUCCAUUUUGCUAGAAAAUCGCACAAAUCAAUAAGCUAGCACUUAUCUGCAUUAAAAUUAGGUAGACCACAAUUUAUAGGCACAGUGAUAGUGUAGUUCUCUUGAUACCCUUGGUUAGUGUUUAAGAUAAUCCUUGCUUUUGUGUCCUCAGAGAGAAACCAAAAUGUUACGCGAACAAGAUCUCAUUUUCCCAUUUUGUAUUAUUGUCUCUGUUUUCUCUCACUCGUGUUGAUAACCUGGCGUGUGGGCGCGUGCUUGCGUGCGUGUGUCUUCCUUUUCUUAUGACUUGAGAACCUUAGAUGUUUUAAGAGAAGAAAAAGAAAUGAAACUCAACUAUGUUUCCAUCAUCAAGAGAAAUGCAAAAAGCGAACCAGGGGGAGGAGCUCCCGUUCUGUGCAGCACAUAAUGUACAAUGGUACAUUUGUCAUGCUUUAAAUAUAUAAUGCCUACAAUAAAAUAUGUACAGGCGCAGUUGUGAUCUAUGAAGUC
rnacentral:lncRNA from 1 species